rnacentral:rRNA from 1 species
AGAGAAUAGAUACCCUGGUAGUCCACGCCGUAAACGAUGAGCACUAGUUAUUGGGGGUAUUGACUCCCUCAGUGACGCAGCUAACGCAUUAAGUGCUCCGCCUGGGGAGUACGGUCGCAAGACUAAAACUCAAACAAAUUGACGGGGGCCCGCACAAGCGGUGGAUUAUGUGGUUUAAUUCGAAGCAACGCGCAGAACCUUACCUAGGCUUGAACUCCUACGAACCUCUUGUAAUGGAGAGGGUGUCCGCAAGGAAAUGUAGUGAGAGGUGCUGCAUGGCUGUCGUCAGCUCGUGUUGUGAAAUGUUGGGUUAAGUCUCGCAACGAGCGCAACCCCUAUCGUCUGUUGCCAGCAUUAAGUUGGGCACUCUGACGAGACUGCCUGGGUUAACCAGGAGGAAGGUGGGGAUGACGUCAAGUCCUCAUGGCCCUUAUGUCUAGGGCUACACACGUAAUACAAUGGCGCGUACAAAGGGAGCGAACUCGCAAGGGGAGCAAAUCUCAAAAAGCGCGUCUCAGUUCGG